GUGCAGGUCGUCUGUUCCAGGUUACAUCAGGGGGCCCUGAACGUCUCACCGUGCGGGUCGUCUGUUCCGGGUUACAUCAGGGUGCCCUGAACGUCUCACCGUGCAGGUCGUCUGUUCCGGGUUACAUCAGGGGGCCCUGAACGCCUCACCGUGCAGUGACUGGGACAGAGAUUACAAUCCAACAUGUUUUCCUUCAUGUUGCUCGUCUUUGCUGUGGCUCUGCUGGUUCAUCCUGGGGAGUCCGGAGAUUUCCUGACAGCCGGAGUACCCCCCCCCCCACUGAGGACGAUUCCCCGUUGUCGGUCCUUUGGGACAAGGUUCUGGACGAGUUGGAUCUCGACUUUGAUGCUCCAGUGGUACGAGCCGACAGGGUGGUUCGACCAAUCAGAUCCCUCAGAUCUGCAUACGGACCAAUCAGCCACUCUGGAGUCAGAGUGACCCUCGGGGACGGGUCUCGGUGGCUCCUCCAGAAAGGAACCGGCGCCGACGGUCCGAUGUCGGUGACCAGCGCCGACAACAUGAGCUCAGAGUGGAAGACGACGGAGACCAGAGAGUUCAACGGGAGAAAGCGCGUGGCUGACUUCAUGAAGGCCGGGGGGGGCACGUACGACGUUCGCCACGCCAACUGUCACCACGCAACAGACGCCAUGAUGGAUCAGUAAACAGGAACCGUAGACUGGAUGCUAAUGGACACAGCAUGGGGGACGUCACCCGCUGGGUGUCACGAUCUGAGAUGACUCGUUGGUUGGAGAUGGGAUGAUUUUAGACGAGAGAGGAGAGAAGGAGACGUGAGGGAGGAGAGAA